GCUACUGUGGCCGAGCGGUUAAGGCGCUAGACUCAAGAGAUCCGCUCUCUUGCUCCCCUGGGAGUCCAGUUUUCUAGUAGGGAAACCUGCACGAGUUCGAGUCUCGUCGGUAGCA